rnacentral:lncRNA from 1 species
AGUGCGAGCGACCCCGGGCCGGCUGCGUGGAGCUGGCGCUGCCUCUCCUGAAGCCGAGGCGCUAACUUGAGUGAAGAGGUCUAUAGGCUUUUUCACUUUUGGUUAUCUGCUCAGGCGCUCCUUGGGGUCGCGCAUGGUCUCGGACAGGGUUUGCAAGGACUUCGGAGCUAACCAGUUUGGAGCCAUAACCCUUUCGUACUUGCCAAAAAACUCUGGGCAAGACUCUUGAAUUUUGAGCCGCAGUAUUCUCGUUCAUAAGGAAUGUUUAUUCCCAUGAAGCAUGGAUAUUUAAUUGGUGGUGAAGCUACUCGAAUGUGUACCUUGGAAAGAAAUCAUUGCACACAAGGUUUUUAAGACUAUGCAAAAUUCUUUCAUUGUGCAAAUACAAUACAAAAUUGUUUUGCAGAAUAUUCAGUAACAACAUAUGGGUAAUAA